AGCUUUGCACAGUGGGAGUAUCAUAGCCAAUGAGGUUUAUCUGAGGUGCAAUUAUUGCUAAUUGAAACAAAUUCUCUUUUUGCAACCCUUCUGCAGCUUUCUGCCCAUGUCACUUUUGUAUUUCAGUAUCCUCAUGCCUAUUCUGG
rnacentral:snRNA from 1 species